GACGAACGCUGGCGGCGUGCUUAACACAUGCCAGUCGAACGGAAAGGCCCUGCUUUUGUGGGGUGCUCGAGUGGCGAACGGGUGAGUAACACGUGAGUAACCUGCCCUUGACUUUGGGAUAACUUCAGGAAACUGGGGCUAAUACCGGAUAGGAGCUCCUGCUGCAUGGUGGGGGUUGGAAAGUUUCGGCGGUUGGGGAUGGACUCGCGGCUUAUCAGCUUGUUGGUGGGGUAGUGGCUUACCAAGGCUUUGACGGGUAGCCGGCCUGAGAGGGUGACCGGCACAAUGGGGAAUAAGGGAGGCCCCAGCCGCCAACGGGAGACAAAGGGGGGAAGUAUGAAAGAGUGGGGGAGAGCGUGGGGAAGCAGCGCCGGGGGGGGAAGGACGGCCUGGGGGUGAAAAACGUGUUUCGCCGGUAAGGAAGCGGGAGGGAGGGUAAGGGAAAAGAAAGCACCGGCUAACUACGUG
rnacentral:rRNA from 1 species